GCGUUUACUUUUCUACAUUGGCUUGAGGUAUAGGGGGAGGGUUGAGAUCUCACUAACAUGUUUAACCCCGCCGCAUUUUUGCGCCUGUCCCAAGUCAGGAGCCUCUGGCCUUUGUUAGUCUUGUAUUAUUUUAAUUUUAGUUUCUUGUGUACAAUUUGGAAAUUAGUAUGGCGUUCAUUAUCACUGAACUAGUAGAUAUUUGUUUAGGGGCCAGUUGAAGGACGCCUCUGGGUGCAGGAAUUUCUCGUUACAUUGAAGACCUGUUGGUGACCUUCUGCUGUUGUUUUUUUCUAUGGUCGGGUUGUUGUCUCUUUGACAC
rnacentral:lncRNA from 1 species